rnacentral:rRNA from 1 species
AGAUUGAACGCUGGCGGCAGGCCUAGCACAUGCAAGUCGAGCGGCAGCACGGGUACUUGUACCUGGUGGCGAGCGGCGGACGGGUGAGUAAUGCCUAGGAAUCUGCCUGAUAGGUGGGGGAUAACGCUCGGAAACGGACGCUAAUACCGCAUACGUCCUACGGGAGAAAGCAGGGGACCUUCGGGCCUUGCGCUAUCAGAUGAGCCUAGGUCGGAUUAGCUAGUUGGUGGGUAAUGGCUCACCGAAGGCGACGAUCCGUAACUGGUCUGAGAGGAUGAUCAGUCACACUGGAACUGAGACACGGUCAGACUCGUACGGGAGCAGCGAGGUAGGGAAU